rnacentral:rRNA from 1 species
UGGGGAAUAUUGCACAAUGGGCGAAAGCCUGAUGCAGCAACGCCGCGUGAGUGAUGAAAGGCCUUCGGGUUGUAAAGCUCUGUCUUUUGGGACGAUAAUGACGGUACCAAAGGAGGAAGCCACGGCUAACUACGUGCCAGCAGCCGCGGUAAUACGUAGGUGGCAAGCGUUGUCCGGAUUUACUGGGCGUAAAGGAUGCGUAGGCGGAUUUUUAAGUGAGAUGUGAAAACCCUAAGCUUAACUUGGGGGACUGCAUUUCAUACUGGAAAUCUAGAGUGCGGGAGAGGAGAAUGGAAUUCCUAGUGUAGCGGUGAAAUGCGUAGAGAUUAGGAAGAACACCAGUGGCGAAGGCGAUUCUCUGGACCGUAACUGACGCUGAGGCAUGAAAGCGUGGGUAGCAAACAGGAUUAGAUACCCUGGUAGUCCACGCCGUAAACGAUGAGUACUAGGUGUAGGAGGUAUCGACCCCUUCUGUGCCGCAGUUAACACAAUAAGUACUCCGCCU